GAUCUUCCCAGCGGCGUCCAAGGCCCCUAUAUUAUCGGUGCCGUCGCAAGACGGAUAUGGCGAUAAACGGCCAUCGCAAUAAACCUUUCGGACCCGGGGGCGGUACCCGGCGCCUCCACCAAAGGGCAGCGGCUUCGUAUUUCGAGCGCGCGGCUGUCUUUCGGCGGGGGCGAAAUAGGAUCGACGAGGGUGUAAAGGGUGGACUUUUGCUCGGCAUGGUUCCGCCGUUAUCGGGCCGAACUUAUAGUUGCCAACGACAACUAUGCUCCGGUUGCCCAGGCUGCGUAACGCAGUUUAGGUACCCGAUUUAAAGUCCCGGCGGUUAGCCCCGUCGGGCGGGGUUCGGAGGCACCUGGCAACAGAAGCCUCCACU
rnacentral:tmRNA from 1 species